ACACCAAAGAUCCCCAAACCCAGAUGCCUCUCUCAUACCCUCGGAGCGAAGGGAAACCUUGAGAGUGGGCGGAAAGAAGGUUAUCGCUUGGAGGGACACUGGGGCACAAGUGUCAACUAUCCACCAAUCCCUAGUGGACCCCAAACUCAUCAACCCGGAGGCUACAGUGACAAUUCAACCCUUCGUGUCACAGUCUGUAACCUUGCCUACAGCCACAUUGCAUGUCCAGUACAAAGGCUGGUCAGGAAUGUGGACUUUUGCAGUCUAUGACAAUUAUCCCAUUCCCAUGCUGCUGGGGGAAGAUUUGGCCAACCAUGUGAAGCUAGCCAAGAGGGUGGGAAUAGUCACCCGCAGCCAGGCUAAGCAAGCUUUCACCCCCAUCCCUGUUCCUGAGCCGUCCACCAGGGCCCCGUCUGUGUUACCAGAGACCCAGACAAAGGUGGUGGAACAGGAUCCCCUGCCAACGACUGCAACAACCGUUGUGGACCCAAUCCCAAAGACCCAGCCAAAGCCAGUCCCAGAACCGGAACUGGCAACGCAACCAGCACCAGAACCAUUGCCAGCACUGAGUCCAGCGCUUGCAAACCCGUCUACAACUCCAACACCAGAGGGCACCAGCGAGCCUGAACUGGCAGAAGCAGCAGAUAACCCUACCCAAGAGGCUCAGCCAGAGCCUGAGAUACCACAUAGUGCACCAGCGGACAGCGGUUCACAGUCAAUGGAAACAGCCCCAGCACCUGCAUCACUUCCAGAGGGACCAAGCCCCAGUCCACAGUCCAAGGAGGAACUGAUGUCUCCAGCAUCAAGGGAACAGUUCCAGGCUGAUCAGGAAGCAGAUGACAGCCUUCAGAAAGCUUGGGCGGUGGCGCGGAGCACCCCACCGCCUCUCAGCUCUUCUAACCGAUCCCGGUUUGUUGUAGAACAAGGACUUUUAUACAAGGAGACUCUUUCUGGUGGGCACCAGGAAGACUGGCAUCCUCAAAGACAGUUGGUAGUUCCCACUAAGUAUCGGGUAAAGCUCUUGGGCUUAGCCCAUGAUCAUCCCAGUGGCCAUUCUGGGGUGAACAGAACCAAAGACCGGUUGGGGAAGUCCUUCCACUGGGAGGGAAUGGGCAAGGAUGUUGCUAAUUAUGUCCGGUCUUGUGAGGUGUGCCAACGAGUGGGAAAGCCCCAAGACCAGGUUAAAGCCCCUCUCCAGCCACUACCCAUAAUUGAGGUCCCAUUUCAGCGCGUAGCUGUGGAUAUUCUGGGUCCUUUCCCAAAGAAGACACCCAGAGGAAAGCAAGAAUUAAACGUUUGCCAGUUUACAGCCCAGGAAACAGAUGACGCGGAGU
rnacentral:lncRNA from 1 species